GACGGGGGGGGGCAAGUGUUCUUCGGAAUGACUGGGCGUAAAGGGCGCGUAGGCGGCUCAUACAGUCAGAUGUGAAAUUCCUGGGCUUAACCUGGGGGCUGCAUUUGAUACGUGUGGGCUUGAGUGGGGAAGAGGGUCGUGGAAUUCCCAGUGUAGAGGUGAAAUUCGUAGAUAUUGGGAAGAACACCGGUGGCGAAGGCGGCGACCUGGUCCUUGACUGACGCUGAGGCGCGAAAGCGUGGGGAGCGAACAGG
rnacentral:rRNA from 1 species